UCGAAUUGUAAGGACUCGGUUGUCGCUGGCUCUCUCUGGGAGCAUGUGCACGCCGGGUUCAAACUCUUCAUCCUUAACCUCCUGUGCACCUUUUGUGGACUGUGGUCAGAUAACUCGUCGAGGUAACACUCGGUCUUGUGGAUUGCGUCUAACCCACGCUUUCUGCUGCAUCUGUCUGCAGUUCAUGUCUUACUACACACCGUUCAUUAAACCUAGAAUGUUCAAUAGUUGGGACUUGAGCCCUUCUUAAAUUAAAUA
rnacentral:misc_RNA from 1 species